rnacentral:rRNA from 1 species
GACGAACGCUGGCGGCGUGCUUAACACAUGCAAGUCGAACGGUAAGGCCCUGCUUUUGUGGGGUGCUCGAGGGGCGAACGGGUGAGUAACACGUGAGUAACCUGCCCUUGACUUUGGGAUAACUUCAGGAAACUGGGGCUAAUACCGGAUAGGAGCUCCUGAUGCAUGGUUAUGGUUGGAACGUUUGGGCGGUUGGGGAUGGACUCGCGGCUUAUCAGCUUGUUGGUGGGGUAGUGGCUUACCAAGGCUUUGUCGGGUAGCCGGCCUGAGAGGGUGACCGGCACAAGUGGGACUGAGAUACGGCCCAGACUCGUACGGGAGGCAGCAGUGGGGAAUAUUGCACAAUGGGCGGAAGCCGGAUGCAGCAACGCCGCGUGAGGGAUGACGGCCUUCGGGUGGUAAACCGCAUUCGCCUGUGACGAAGCGUGAGUGACGGUAAUGGGUAAAGAAGCACCGGCUAACUACGUG